CACGCUCAGCCCAACUCGCUCUUCUUCUCCGUUCGUCGUCGUCCCAAAUCCAAUCGCUAUCUCUUGUGGAGGAGAUAAAGGAGAAGGGGGACAGCGGAAAGAAGAGAGGGCACGGCGGCGGGAACCUAGCCUCCUCCAACGCGCGCCAGGACACGCCGUCGGCGGCGUCGACAAGCGGCCCCACGCGCUCCACGCCCAGUAGGUCGCCAAACGCCGUGCAGGAGCUCACGGGACAGGCAGGGGUAAGGGCCCCACGCAAUGGAGGUCGUAGUCGACAUCGACGACGGCGAACGAUUGGAGGAUCACUUUGUGCGCGCUCUGGCUGGCGUUCUGGCUUGGAUCUGAACUUCUCUUCCACAUGUUCAUAGGAAAGGUGUUGCACUUGAUAGAUCAGUAGAUUUGUCAAAGUUUAGUGACGAUGAUGCAAACCAAAGCUGAGCUCGACGAGAUGUUUGGAUUUGACAGUAAACUGAUGUCUUCCAACAGAGAUUGGCAGAUAGUGUAUACAGAUAAUCAGGGUGACCUGAUUCUGGACUUUCAAUUGUAAUUCAAAUUGGCAGAUGGUGUAUACAUUCAAUUGUUCGC